GUUGAACGCUGGCGGCAGGCCUAACACAUGCAAGUCGGACGGUAGCACAGGGGAGCUUGCUCCCCGGGUGACGAGUGGCGGACGGGUGAGUAAUGUCUGGGAAACUGCCUGAUGGAGAGGGAUAACUACUGGAGACGGUAGCUAAUACCGCAUAACGUCGCAAGACCAAAGAGGGGGGCCUUCGGGCCUCUUGCCAUCAGAUGUGCCCAGAUGGGAUUAGCUAGUAGGUGGGGUAACGGCUCACCUAGGCGACGAUCCCUAGCUGGUCUGAGAGGAUGACCAGCCACACUGGAACUGAGACACGGUCCAGACUCGUACGGGAGGCAGCAGUGGGGAAUAUUGCACAAUGGGCGCAAGCCUGAUGCAGCCAUGCCGCGUGUAUGAAGAAGGCCUUCGGGUUGUAAAGUACUUUCAGCGGGGAGGAAGGUGUUGUGGCUAAUAACCGCAGCAAUUGACGUUACCCGCAGAAGAAGCACCGGCUAACUCCGUGCCAGCAGCCGCCGCGG
rnacentral:rRNA from 1 species